rnacentral:rRNA from 1 species
GAUGAACGCUAGCUACAGGCUUAACACAUGCAAGUCGCAGGGUAACAUGAGGAAAGCUUGCUUUCCUUGAUGACGACUGGCGCACGGGUGAGUAACGCGUAUCCAACCUUCCCAUAACUACGGGAUAACCCGUUGAAAGACGGCCUAAUACCGUAUGAUAUCGUUUGCUGACAUCAAAUAACGAUUAAAGGUUUAGCGGUUAUGGAUGGGGAUGCGUCUGAUUAGCUUGUUGGCGGGGUAACGGCCCACCAAGGCGACGAUCAGUAGGGGUGCUGAGAGGAGAAUAAGCCAAACGGGGAAUGAGAGACGGCCCAGACUCGUACGGGAGGCAGCAGGGGGGAAUAUUGGACAAUGGGCGCAAGCCGGAUCCAGCCAUGCCGCGUGAGUGAUGAAGGUAUUAGGAGUGUAAAGAUCUUUCACCGGUGAAGAUAAUGACGGUAGCCGGAGAAGAAGCCCCGGCUAACUUCGUG